AUCUGUCAUAAAGGGCCCCUUGGAGACCGGUCCAUCUAGGUUGGCUCCUAGAUAAGACAUUCCGGAGCGCAGACUUGUGUACCCGGAUGUCCUUGUACACCGAAUUCCACUUAGAGGCCCGAGGCGGAGUCCUCGUCCUCACACGCGGGGUGGGGGUGUGGUCGGGGCACGCGUGAGUACAGGGGAGCCCUGCCCGCGCCUCUCCUGCAAAUCCCGGGACUGUACAUUUCACCACCUGCUGGACCCCCGCCCGGCCGCCGGCCUCGUCUCUGCGGGCCCCGGGGCAGCCCCUCUCUUUGUCUGGGUCCAGACAGGCCUCCUGUAGCACCCCGACCCCGCCGCCUGCCUCGGGUGCAAGAGACUGCCCCGCCCCCUUUCGGUCCGCGGGGCCCCGGAGGCGCGGGCGGCCGGGCAGGUAGCGGGCAGGCGCCGCCCCGCCCGACGACAGGGCGCAGGGUCACCUGCCUGGGCGCGCCAGCAGACGAGCGCUACGUGCGCUGGCCGCGGGCCGGGCGGGGGCGGGGGGCGCGGGAGCUGCCCGGUCGGGGGCUGACGGAGGCGGCCCUCGCCCCCUUAGUCUGCCCCUUCCCGAGCGCGCCCCGCUCCUGGCUGCCGCCGAGCUUCCCAAUCGGGGUUCGGGCGACCCCUCUGCCCCCCCACCCCCGCCAAGCGCAGGGCCCGCCUUCCCCGCCCCGGCCACCUGACCGCCUUGCACCCCAAGGCCCAGUUCGAAGGCUGCUUCUGGGAAGCCGCCUCUGACUCCCGGUUUUAGUCACUGUCCUCGGGGCGCCCUCCAGCUCUGAUCACUCGGGUCGAGGCUUGCUUCCCCUCAACAUGCAGGGCGGGCCCGCACUGCCCGGCACCGGCCCCACCGCCACACUGCCGUCUGUCCUCGGAGCGGGAGUGAAUGGGCGAAGGCAGAGAGGGGCCUGAAGGAAAGCCGGGCGGGGGCCACAGCUGGAGCCGAUGUGGGAGCUUCCCUGUCAGUCCCGGCACCACCGACCCUAGGGACGCCUUGGGUGCUUCAUUUACGUGAACUCAGCCAGGACCCCCUAGCCUUUGCUCAAGCUGUUCCUUCUGCCUGAUACACUCUCUCUUCAGCCACAGGUGCACACUGGGUCCUGGGGAUCGCUCCUGGGGAAGCCAUGCCUGAUCCUUGGGGCCUUGUGGUGAUCUGUGCACCUGACUUCCCUGCCAGCUGUUUACGCAUAAUGUUGCAUUUCCCCCUUUUUAUGACCCUGCCAGAUAGUGAGGUGACAGCCUUGGAGUGACUGACCUGGGGUGUGAGCUCUGUGCUAGAAAGACAUCAAACAUCAAAGAGACAUCAAAAAUAAGCUCUUUCUCCCACCUCACACUGUGGCCUUGCUCUCCCAGGCCGUCCUCUGGGGACAACUGUUUCUCUGAACUGCUCCCCACCUCCCCUCAAUCCUCCCCCCUCUCAGGCCAGAACAGGGCAGGGCUGGGAUUCUUGCUCCAGGGCUAGGUCAGUCUGGGUCCUCUGUGGCUUUGGGCCUCCUUGAGGAAUUUCAGGGGUGAAUGUGCAGGGUGUGGAGAGGGGUGAGGUGGGAGCUGCAAGAAUGUGGGGCUCCCAGAGGGAAGGCCAGCAAAAGGUGGAGAGGGCGGUGCGAGUGGGCUUUCCUGGGAAAAGGCCCUGGGAAGCAAAGGCUACUUUGAAUGACAAAGGUUCCCUGGGGAGCAGAGGAAGGCUCGGGAGGGUGGGAAUGUGGGAGGAAGAGGCUCAGAAGGGCGGGGAGGAAGCUGCCCAAGGGCUUCCAUCCGCAGCGGCCCUUUCAAGUCCUGCUAAACCCGUAACAAUGAGAGGAACUGACCUGUGGACACCAGGGGCAAAGGAUGAUUAACGUAAUUCACCGAGGAAAUACAAAAACCUUAUGAAAAUGUCAGAAAUCCCAAAGUACAAAUGAAAAGGAGAUUCCGGCUUUUCUUAUCUAUAGAAUUGGUCAAGAUAAAAAUAAUGAAAACACCAGAUGCUGGUACGAUGUGGGGGAAGCCAGGGCCUUUUUUUCUGCCGAGGAGGUAAAUUGUAGUAUUCUGCAGGAUAAUUUGACAGUACGUAUGAAAACUUUUAGAAGAGUAAUCCUUUGAGUUAGCAAUUCUGCUUCCAGGACGUGCCCUAAAAUCAAAGCUGAUUUAUCCCAGCCUUAUUUGUAAUUGGGGUAAAUUGGAAGUCUUCUAAAUUUUCAAUGACAGGGACCUGGGUAGAUAGACUGUGCAGCAUUCGUAGAAGGAAGGCUGUGGGGAAAUUAAAUAUCACACUCUUGAAGAAUAUUAAAGAGAUGAGGAAACCUCAAGAUAUGCUGGUAAGUGAAAAGGGGAAGUUAUAAAACAGCAUGACUCCAAUUUUAUACGAUGUGUAUAUAAAUAUGCAUAAUAGCUGCCACGUGUAGUGCUGGGCUGGGUGCUCUACCGUGUGCUAAGGACUUCACUCAGUCUUCCAUUCAACCUUCCCAGCAACCUCGCAGAGGGAGAUUCUACUAACUGCAUGGGAAAAAAAACUGCGAGGAAAUUAACCCAGAUCGGAAAGCUGGUUUGUGCUUUACCCAACAGAGGUGGGAGGUCAGCAGAGAACUUUAAACAGGUGAGCAACAGGUGAACAAGAAUAUCAUCUAGGUGGUUGAGGAAGAUCAUGGUGUAGCGGUUUGGAUGAGGGACUGGAGAAGCCGAGAGGUAGGGAGACCUGGCCGGAGCCUGUUGCAGGAUAAGGUAAAUCUGGUUUUGAUUCGUGUGAGGGUCGGAGGAAGAAAAGGUGCUCUGGAAAGGGUCUGGAGAGGGUCCAAGAGGCAGAAACCCGGGAUGACCCAUCUCAAAGAAGCCCAGGGAGGAGAGUGAAAAAGGGAAUGUGAGGAAUAGUACAAGAGUGCACGCUUCUACGUGGGGCCUUGUGGUGUCUCUGCCUGCACCCAGGUAGAGGAUCCCCCAGAACCUCCCUGGGCUCCCUGCCUCCUUGCCUGGGGCUUCCGUGUGUUCUUUGGUAACCCCAAGGCCUCCCCUCCCCCACCUGAGGGGCAUCGUCAUUCUGCUUGCCCUCGAGCAGUAUUUGGAGCUUCAGAUGAGAGACCAGAGACAGUGCUUUAUAAACCGUCCAAUGUAUAAUCUCUGACUCAGGCUUUUUAAGUCUCAGGCUAUUCCGAGGCUAGUUGGUAAUGUUUUCUCUUGUCUUUGGUGGCUGCUUGGCUCACCCUUUUCUUCUCCGACCACAUCUCUGUUCUGACUUGCUUCAUAGCCUGCUGUGAGUCGGCAGCUGGCCCAUCCCAAGAGUUGCUGUCAGCCAUUCGGCCCUGAUUUAUUGAGGGUGACUCUGCCCUGGGGCCUGCUCUUUGCCCCACGGCUCCUCCCUUCACUCUCCUGCGUCUUGAAGGUCUUCUUCUCUAUCAUCUUUUCCCCCAAGAGACCCAAGUUUCUACCAUAAUUUCAAAGGGGAACAAAAAUUCCUCUUCUACCUACUACUUCUCCAGCUCCCUGUCCUUUUGCAUUCCUUCCUCACCAAGCUUCUCCAGUAAUUAUCUACCUUUUUUCAUCUCCCUUUUGUCCUUUUUUUUUUUUUUUUUAAAUCUUCUUUCUCUCUCUCUUUGUUUUCCCUCUUUGUCUCUUCAUUCUUUGCAGUCAGGCCUCUGCUCCCGCCUAUCCACUGAAAUUCUUGUCAUGAUCGCUUUUGGGUUAAGUGCUAGCCCCCACAGGAUAUGUCCAAAUCCUAACCCCUGGAACCUUUGAAGGUGAACAUAUUUGGAGAAAGGGUCUUUGCAGAUGUAAUUAAGUUAAGAAUCUCAAGAUGAGAUCAGCCUCGAUUUAGGGAGGGUGGCAGGUGUGUUUACAAGAGAAAGCCAGGGGGAUCUGAGACUGACGCAAAGAGAGGAUGAUGGCUCUGAGACGCAGAGGCAGGGGCCAUAGUAAUGCAGCCACAGCCAAGAAACACUGAGGAUUCCAGGAUCCCCCUGAAGCAAGGAGAGAGGCCCAGAAGAAUCCAACCCGCUGAUAUUUUUAUUUCAGACUUCUGGGCCUCUAGAACUGUGAGAUGAUGCAUUUCUAUUAAUUUAAGCCAUAAGUUUGCUAUGAUUUAUUACUGCUGUCCAAGAGACUAGUUCAGUAAUAAUACCAGCAGCCAACGUUUAUGGAGUGCCUACCCUGUGCCUGGCACGGUUCUAAGUUUUACAUGCAUUAUUUCAUGUAAUGCACGAUUUACAUGCAUUGUUUCAUUUAAUUCCUACCACCAACCCAAUGAAGUGGACAUAUACAAGCAAUGUCAACAAAAGCAGGUUUGGGUUUUUGUUUUGUUUUGUUUUGUUUUUAUUGAGGGUUUUUCAUGUCUUUGGCAUUUGAAAAUUGAACCGUCCACCUGAGCGGCAUGUUUCAUUAUUUUUCUCUUUUAUGCGUGAGGAGCCUGUAGACCCAAAACUUAGGUAAUUGCCCAAGGUUACACAAUGAGUAUGUAGUGGAGCCAGGAUUCCAGCCCUGGUAACUCCUGUGGGUGCCUUUAACUGCUUUGCACUUCCCAGGCUGCUGGUAGAGAGAGAUCCCACGAGGCCGAUGGGCCGAGUGGCCCAGGGCUGGGUAUUGCAAUUGCAGGGCUGGAAGUGGCCAAGCGGCCGGUGAGUUUGGGGGAAAGACUGGGGCUAGGAGAGUAAGUCGGGCUGAAGGAGGAGGAGAUGGGAGGUCUUGGUGACCUCAGAGAGCAUAAGCCCCUGGAGCAACAGAGCAAGAGCCUCGUCUGUGGCCCCCCCCCUGGGGACUCUGGCUUUUAAGAUCCCUGAGCCGGCGCAGUUCUGAGACAUGAUAGGUCUAGUUGUGGCCAUGGGAGUAAGUGAUCAAACAUCAGUGGGGCGGCAGGGGGGACAGGAGGGGUGUGGGCAGGGAGAUUGUCAGUCGACUCCACUUGGUCAAGGAACCUGAGAGACAAAGAUCAUACCAUAACUGAUUGACUGCUCUGGGAGUUCAAAGCCUUGAGCCAACACCACUCUUUGUUCUUAUCAUGAAACAAAUGGAACCUGAGCUGGUUCUUGAAAAACAGAUAGGAGAUGACGAAUGCAAAAGCCAGCAGGGCUUCUAGGUAACAGGCACAGCAAGAACAAAGACAUGGAAGGCCAAUGCACAGGGCAUCUAGUUUAGAGUUUAAGUUGGCUCUAGUCAAGGGUGCAUGAAAGGAGACGAUGGGACUGAACUUUGAAAGUGUCCUAAUUUGGGUACCCUGCAAAGCAGACACUGAAUCCAAGAUUUAGGUGCAGGUGCUAGAUUUCACAAGGUGUCCUCAGGAAGCGUAGUGAAGGAGUGGAGAAGAGACAGAGAAGGGAGAAAAGUCAAUAAAAGAUGAGCAAGUUGCCUCUUAGGUAACUGGGGCUCAGUCCCACAGGGGACCCUCGGAUAAACUAUGUGGAACACACUGCAGAAAGUGUCCCACAGAAGGACAAGGAAGCUGGAAUAUUUGUCUACCCGAUCCAGUCAGUCCUCCGAUCCUGCUGCCACAGAAGGCUCUUGGACAGAGACCAGCCACUCUUGUUACCAGUCCACGCUGGGGAAACUGAUAAGAAUUCUGGCUUGGAGUCAGACGGACAGGUUUUUGCUCAAGCUCAGUCAUCUCCAGCGUGUACCAUGGGCACCAAGGAAAGGCCAUGUGAGAACACAGGAAAAAGGCAACUGUCUGCAAGCCAGGAAGAGUGAUCUCACCAGAAACCACAUUGGCUGCCAUCUUGAUCUUGGACUUCCCAGCUUCCAGAACUGUGAUAAAUAAAGCCACUCAGUCUGUG